rnacentral:lncRNA from 1 species
GUCCGCCUCGUUGCCACCGUAUGUUUUCAUACUGUCCGAUUCGUUGGUCAUAUUCAUGAUCGAUAUCUUAAGCAAAAGUAAGAUUGAAACAUGCAAUUUAUCCACAUUUAAACUUUAUUCAACACAGAUACUGUCUAUGAUUAUAUAUGGAAAAUAUUUAUAGAUUAUAUAUUCAGCUUGGAUCUCGUGUCAAUUAAAGGGGGACAUUGGUCACUCUUCCAGAACCUUUACUCAUGUCUGCUGCUCGUAUUCAUCGUUUGCGGACCUUGUUGUUAGAUUCUCUACCGAUAUAAUAUUCUAAUAAAUGCAUGGUGAAUUCAGUACACAUGUUCCCUAUGACAUGAUCUUUCUAAUUUAAUGCAAAAUUAGAGUUUUGAUCCAAUUUUACGGCCUAAUGAACAUAGAAAACGAUAGUGCGAGUGGGGCAUCCGU